rnacentral:rRNA from 1 species
GGCGAUGGAUCAUUCAAGUUUCUGACCUAUCAGCUUUCGACGGUACUGUAUUGGACUACCGUGGCAGUGACGGGUAACGGGGAAUUAGGGUUCGAUUCCGGAGAGGGAGCCUGAGAAACGGCUACCACAUCUAAGGAAGGCAGCAGGCGCGCAAAUUACCCAAUCCUGACUCAGGGAGGUAGUGACAAGAAAUAACAACACUGGAAAUUAUAUUUCUAGUGAUUGGAAUGAUGGGAAUCCAAACCCCUUUCAGAGUAACAAUUGGAGGGCAAGUCUGGUGCCAGCAGCCGCGGUAAUUCCAGCUCCAAUAGCGUAUAUUAAAGUUGUUGCAGUUAAAAAGCUCGUAGUUGGAUAUCUGCUGGAAGCAGCCAGUCCGCCCUUUGCGGGUGUGCACUUGGUGAAUUCUGGCAUCCUCCUGAUUGGUGUCAUCAUCACUUCAUUGUGUUGGUGGCAGCUGUCAGGACCGUUACUUUGAGAAAAUUAGAGUGUUUCAAGCAGGCUUGUUGCCUUGAAUACUGCAGCAUGGAAUAACAAGAUAGGAUUUCGGUUCUAUUUUGUUGGUUUCUAGGACUGAAGUAAUGAUUAAUAGGGACAGUUGGGGGCAUUCGUAUUUAACUGUCAGAGGUGAAAUUCUUAGAUUUGUUAAAGACGAACUACUGCGAAAGCAUUUGCCAAAGAUGUUUUCAUUAAUCAAGAACGAAAGUUAGGGGCUCGAAGACGAUCAGAUACCGUCGUAGUCUUAACCAUAAACUAUGCCGACUAGAGAUAG